CCUACGGGCGGCAGCAGUGGGGCAUAUUGGGCAAUGGGCGCAAGCCUGACCCAGCAACGCCGCGUGAAGGAAGAAGGCUUUCGGGUUGGAAACUUCUUUUGUCAGGGAAGAGUAGAAGACGAUACCUGACGAAUAAGCCACGGCUAACUACGUGCCAGCAGCCGCGGUCAUACGUAGGUGGGAAGCGUUGUCCGGAUUUCCUGGGUGUAAAGGGCGUGUAGCCGGGUUGACAAGGCAGAUGUGAAAUCCUGCGGCCUAAACGCAGAACUGCAUUUGAAACUGUUGAUCUUGAGUACUGGAGAGGCAGAUGGAAUGCCUAGUGUAGCGGUGAAAUGCGUAGAUAUUACGAGGAACACCAGUGGCGAAGGCGGUCUGCUGGAGAGCAACUGACGGUGAGGCGCGAAAGCGUGGGGAGCAAACAGGAUUAGAUACCCCAGUAGUC
rnacentral:rRNA from 1 species